GACGAACGCUGGCGGCGUGCUUAACACAUGCAAGUCGAACGGACAAGCCCUGCUUUUGCGGUGUGCUCGAGUGGCGAACGGGUGAGUAACACGUGAGUAACCUGCCCUUGACGUUGUGAUAACUUCAGGAAACUGGGGCUAAUACCGGCUAGGAGCUCCUGCUGCAUGGUGGGGGCUGGAAAGUUUCGGCGGUUGGGGACAGACUCGCGGCUUGUCCGGUUGUUGGUGGGGUAGUGGCUUACCAAGGCUUUGACGGGUAGCCGGACUGAGAGGGUGACCGGCCGCAUUGGGACUCAGACACGGAGCAGACUCCUACGGGCCGCAGCGGGGGUGAGUAUGACACAGCUGGCGGAAGCCGUGCGCAACGCCGCCGCGUGCGGGAUGAGGGCCUUCGUGUUGUAAACCGCUUUCGCCUGAGACGAAGCGUGAGUGACGGUGAUUGAGAAAUAAGCACCGGCUAACGACGUG
rnacentral:rRNA from 1 species